CCUGGUCAAUGGCUAAUGACAUCCUUUAAGGAAAAAUCCUUUUACAUUAGUUACACAAUCUCAGGGGACCUUCCUUGUGAUGGCCACAGGAAACAUGGUAAACUUUGUUCUUGGAGAGGCAUUCACGUCUUUGCUGAGAGGAAAAAAAAGAAAAGUGCAGGAUAUGAAAACGUUCAGAGACAAGAGGCUGACAAGUAGAAUUGGUGGUCUAGGCUUCACUUUGGAGGAGGUGUGGCAGAGAGAGUCUUGUUGGCCAGGAGACAGACCGUAAUGGCUGGAUGCGUAAUACGUAAUGGAUGCGUGAAGGUGAGUGAAUUCAUGGCUACUCAGUUGAAGGUGCUUGGCCAAGGGGUAACUAAGAAAGCAAAGCUAUUUGUAGCUACAGAAGGAUGAGUCUCAUUCAUUUAAAAAUGUGUGCAGCUGUAUAUUAUAUUGAUAGUGUGUACAUAUACACGUGUUACAUUUAUGUCUUUUGAUUUGUUUGUGGUUUUGGCAGGAGUUUUGGAGGCAAGGUGGAGACAGACUCAAAUAAAAAAAAAACAACAAAAGAAUACCAAUUAGUUAGAACAUGGCUUUAGAGCUAUGAUCUGCUUUUGUGUGUUUGUUCCCGGGCACCCUAUCUAGUGAGAAGCAGCAGUGUGAAGUAACUCUCACCCGUCACACACUCAGCUGGCUCAGAGGGGCGUCAGUGAGGACACGCAGCUUCUGUGUGUCUCUUCGGCAGUCGAAGUUUGCCUACCCAGUUGCUUAUUAGACUCUGAAUCCAGGAAAAGUCAAUAGAGGAGAAGCUGGAAGCCGUCCAUUUGUGAGCAGCUACCAAGACUGAAGGAGGGUGUGUGUGUGUGUGUGUGUGUGUGUGUGUGUGUGUGCGUGCACACACAAUUUAAAUGGCCAUGCAGCUUGGGUAGCAUCCAUGGGCUUCAAUUACCUUUGGUAGCUUUGCUCCCAAGAGAAGCAAAUCCUUGAGAGCCAGCUGUAGAAAUGUUAAUUAUAAGAUGGGGGUGGAGGUGGGGGAGGCUUCUUAAUGGCACAGUUUUUAUGGGCAGAUGGACUUGGUUUAAAGAGGCAGUGAAUGGGGCUGUGUGUCUCAUGACAUUCAUCCAUCACUGAUACUAGGCAGGAAAAGUCCAUCAAAGCCACCAGGAACUCUGGGACCCCAUGUAGUCCAUACAAACAGUGGAAGACUAAUGGCUGGGGUAGAGGGAGCCACCAAUGCAGAGGUCUCACUCAUUUUAAAAUUUUUAUUAUUAUUGUAUUGUGUGUGUCUGUGAGUGUGUGUGUGUGUGUGUGUGUGUGUGUGUGUGUGUCUGGGGGCAGUUCCUGAGUAGAUGUAUGUGCUGCCCCCAUGUUCAGGAGCCCACAUAGGUUGGAAGAGGAGUGACAAAGGAUUGUGAGCUACCAUGUGGGUGCUGGGUAAUGAACCCAGGUCCUCUGGAAGAGAAGUAAGCAUAUUUAACCACGGGGCCAUCUUGUUAGCUCCAAGAUGUGAUUAUUAUAGCAUUUUAGACACAGGAAUGGCAGCCUGAUGGCUUCAGUCUGCCCAAAAUAAUUUAUGUAAUUUUGCUAUUGUGGAGAGAUAUCUGGGAUAUUUUUUUUUCCUGGGAAAAAUCAGCUUAUAAGACAGAAUAUUGAAUGGGUCUAUUUUUGUAAAUACUACAUAAAAACUUGGAAAAACUGUCUGGAAAGAAAUAAAAAUUCAAAUAUCAGUUAUGUUUGUGGGGGGUAGGUUUACGGGUGGUUUCUACUUUCUCCUGUUUUUUUUUUUUUUUUUUACCUAAGGACUCAAAUGGUUACUCACUGAGUGCACAUUCCUUACAUAUGAGAAUAUUCUACAAGUGUUUUGGCACUGACAGCUGGAGGGACAGCUCUGUGGAUAAAGCACUUAGUAGGCAAGAAUGGAGACCAGAGUUUGGAUCCUCUGAACCCACGUUAAAACUGGAUGGAUGUUGUAGCCAGGUAUUCCAGCCCUUGGAGGGUAGAGAUGAGAUCCCAGAGCAAGUUGAUGAGCUAAGUUAACCACAUUAGCAAACUGUGAGCCCAUCUGAGACAUCCCGCCUAAAUGAAUAAAUAAGGUAGAGAGUGACUGAAGAGUGUUCCUGACUCCACCUCUGGGCCUCUACGUGCAUGCAAGCACACACACACAUACGUGCACACACAUGUGCACAUACACAUGCAUGAACACAUAUAUGUAUGCACACACACACACACACACACACACACACACACACACACACUUGGGGCACUGUGAUGACUUUGCUGGCUCCAGUAUAUUUGCAAGAAUGUUUAAGAUCUGCUAGCUACCUGGAGCUGUGGACUCUGUGGUAGGGAUACACUGUUUAGUCAGUGCUUAGACAGAUACUGCAAGGUGCCUAUGGUCUGAAGAAGAAAACAAAUCUAGAAUUUAAAAGCCAGCAAGUAAAGAUGACAGCUCCUAAUCUCAGCACACAAGCCUUGAAUGGAAACAGUCCUCUUGUUCUACUUUCAGGGGAUUUAAUUCUACGGCUGUAUGAGCGGGGGAAGUCUCCUAGGGGGGAUACAGAACAUUCUGCUCCGCUCCAUUUUAAAGUGCCUCGUUUCCCAUCUGCCUCCCACAUUCAUCUGAUUGUUCGUGUGAGAGGACGUAAGUUUCUGCGGAAGUUGGAUUUGAAGAGAUCGGUAAGGGAGUCAUGUAUGUGUGUGAUGGUGAAGGGUGAGGCUGAGUCUUGUCCUGACUGUGGACAUGGCUGGGCUGAAUCUGAAAGAGGAAAUGCUUAUAGCAUCCACAAAACCCUCACACAAGAGUGAGUCCCCCAAAUCAGCAGUAGCAACGGAAGGAUCCACACACUGGAUACCCGAUGCAAAUGACCCUACAGACUUAGAACCAACCAGCCAGGAAGAGACCCAUAGCCCCACAUAAUGGACAAGGAUGCCCAUAUGCAGGAGCCUAGUGCUGAAGUGACAGUUCUUAGGACAUGCCAGGCUCUUGCUCCAAAUCUAUCAUUGGCUGUCUGGGUGACUUUGGGAAGAGACCUAACCUGCUCACUCUUCAGCUCCCAGCAUCAGUAUCUGGCUGUGCCACACAGGGUGAUUAAAUGACCUGAACAGAAAAUAUAAAGCCCUUAGGACAAUGCCAACCACACAGUGUUCAACAGACAUUGAUUGCUUCUGGUGCACGAAGGGACAAAUAGUCCAGAUCUGUUUGAGUCACAGCCCUUUCUAUGCCCCAAACAUUCAAUAUCAUUGCUCUCCAUAUCUGUGGGGAACUGGACCCUCGAGGAUACCAAAAUCCACAGACGCUUAAGCCUCUUAAAUAAAAUAGUGCAGGUUGUACAGACUUACAUACCUUGUGCCAUGUAUAGCUAGAGAUUUACAGUACCCAGUACGACGUAAACACUAGUAAAUACAUAUCAGUAGCUGCUAUAUAUCACUGUUCGGGUCCCAGUUUCUUAAACUACGAGUCACAAAAGAGUUGACAACAGUGAAAAGGCUCCUGAACACACAAUGAGCAAACCGGAGGUAACAAAUUGGAGGUUUUUCUAGCAGCGUUAGCCUGUAUUGCACGACGUGAUUCCACUGUGGUGUUGGUAGUGAGCACACAACACAUGCCAAGGGACAAAGCCUGAAACUCGGCUCCAAUUGCAGACCACAUCACAACUGUCGUGCUCUUACUGUAAUGCAAAGCCUCUUUGUUUGUUUUGAAAUAUAACAGUUUAAUUAUAGAAAUCAGAGACUUAAUAUUUCCCUACCGUUAUCCCCCCCACCAGCAGCUAUUCCAUUAGUGCGCCUUCGGACGGCGUCCUUAGAAUGACUGAGUUUAAACACUGCAGCUUGUGCUGCUGACAUGAAUUUCAUACAAGAAAGAAAUCCUUAAAGAAUUUUGGUUCAGGAUUAGAACUAGAAUUUCCAACCAUUUUUGAAAAUGGUUGUAAACACACGUCUACCAUUUUAUAAUACCGUGUUAUUUAUAGGAGCAGUAUUGUCAGUAUUGAUCGGUCAAAAUAUUGACCAACUCUGAAAAACACUGAGGCUGUGUGAUGCCCUGGAGUAUCUAAUAUUUAGUCAUAAUUUCUUUGUGUCAAAACAAACAAGCAGAUCCAUUUCAUUAGUAUGCACAUUUGCUGUAGUCUUUAAUAAACAGCAAAAUUAUGUGUACACCAAAGAGCUGUUUUAAAAUAAAUUUACUUAUUAGUAGCAAAUGUUUGAUUUUCAUACCUAUUUCCUAUUUUACCUACCUAAUGUGGGGCUUUGAGUAAGAAUGGCUCCCAUUAGGCUCAUUAAUUUGAAUGCUUAGAUGCCAGGCAGUGGCACUAUUAAGAGGUGUGACCUUUUUGGUGUAAGUAUGACCUUGUUGGAAGAAGUGUGUGUGUGUGUGUGUGUGUGUGUGUGUGUGUAUGUGCGUGCACGCACGCACGUGUGUGCCUAUAGGUGGAGUGAGAUUUUAAAACCCCAUACUAGGCCCAGGCGUGCACUCUCUGCCUGCCUUCCUGUUUGUCUGUCUGUCUCUCCCCUCCCUUCCUUUCUCUCUCAGCCUGCACAUGAGCUCUCAGAUCCUGUGCUAUGCAUGCCACCGUGUUCCCUGCCACAAUAAUGGACCAAACCUCAGAAACCACAAACAAGCCCUCAGUUGCUUGGAAAGACGUGCCUGGGCCAUGGCUGUCUCUUCACUGCAAUAGAAUUAAGACAUCUGCAUACCCAGGAUCAAGUAAACGUUUCUUGGCUGACUAGAGGCUACAAGUGGAAAGUGCUUACAUAUUCCAUAUUCACACAGGGGAGGGGGUCAUCCGCUGGAUCCACAGACAACCUUCCAGGGACUACAACUCCCAGGAAAAAUGACUCUGUCUCUGCAACCAACCAACUGCCAAAUCUCCAUGCUAGAAUUCCGAGAGUCUUGAUCUUCCACAGAUCUUGUAUAGGAAACCACAACAGCUGCGAGCAGAGGUUCGUCAGUGUCUAAUCAACUUAUGUGGUUUUAGCUGAAUGUCAAGUGGUUGAGGUGAGAACCUGCUCCCUAGACUCCACUGUGGCUAGGUGUGUCUAUUAUGCCCAGGCCUAGAUCUGGAUGCUGGGAAAUCUCAGGAUCACGAUGUGAGCUCAUAGCUUCUGCUUCAGUGCCAUGCCCGCC